rnacentral:rRNA from 1 species
UACGUAGGGGGCUAGCGUUGUCCGGAAUCAUUGGGCGUAAAGAGCGUGUAGGCGGCCCGGUAAGUCCGCUGUGAAAGUCGGGGGCCCAACCCUCGAAUGCCGGUGGAUACUGUCGGGCUAGAGUGCGGAAGAGGAGAAUGGAAUUCCUGGUGUAGCGGUGAAAUGCGCAGAUAUCAGGAAGAACACCCGUGGCGAAGGCGGUUCUCUGGGACGGUACUGACGCUGAGACGCGAAAGCGUGGGGAGCGAACAGG